UAACCAUUUGUGUAUGUGAUUGUAUGGAUUUUAAUAAAACAUCUAAUAAUAAGUCUCUUUUUUCAGAGUGAUGAGGUGGCAAGAUGCCAUAUUCCCAUGGCUAGCACACACACAUGCACAAAAUAGGUCAGCGAGACCACAGCACCACAUCAAUGGAUCUCGGAACACACUUUAGAGGAGAUUGCCUACAAAUGAACUGACAGAUUGAUGGAUGGAGGGACGGACAAACCAACGAUGCAGUGAACAUGGCCGGCAGCCCGUCACCUUUCUCAGCUCAUGGGCUGGCGAGUGUUUACACUACUAAAGGAAUGUGGAUGAAUCUCACAAAUGAUUUAACUCCUGAAAUAUCCUGUGA